UUUUACUAUAUGUAUUCAAAAUUCUCAAUUCCAUUAUGUAAAUGAGAGGAAAAAAGAGCCAUGCAAAGAGAGGAUCAAAGAUCCUUCAAAGAAAAAAAAAGGAAAAAAGGAGAGAAAGAAACUGCAUCAAAAGAAAAAAAAAAGGAUGAGACACCAAGCAGACCCAUAAUAAUUCCCUAUAAGAACUUGUAGAAAAGAAAAUGCCUCUAUGCAAGCCCAUCAACUUCCUGAUUAGCUGAUUCUGGUCUCCAACUCAAAGAUGCAUCCAUGCUACCAAAUAUCCCAAAUCUCUCUCCUCCAAUGAUAAGCAAGGCCAAGGGUGUCUGCUCAAAGCUGCUCAAUUUAAAAUGACCAAGUCAUGAUCAAAGAGACUGGUAAAAUGCCUCAACAUGGGCUUUCCUAAAGCCUCCCAGUACAAUAAAAUCUCCACUUCAACUGAUCUUAAAAGGACUGGAUUCACUUCUAUGGGUUUGCAGUUGCCAGUAGUUCAUCUUUGACCCAUCAGACCCAGGAUGUUCAGUGGGCGGAUAUUGAAGUCAAGAUUAAUGCAGACAAAGGAAGUUGACCAACAUGAAAAAUAGCUUUCUAAUGUAAUGGAGUAACUAUAUUAGUAUUUCAUCCACAUCUCACAACUUGUGCUUAUUUUUAUCACAUAAUAACAGAAUAGGUUCUGCUCCCUCAAGAAUCUCCAUAACCAUUUAUCAAUAAGGGUUCUAUUCAUCAAGGCUCAUACGACCCAAACUCAACUCCCCAGACCAACAAACUACAUCCAUCUAAUUAAAUGGUUUCUGACAGAUUCUCCAUACCCAUAGAAAAGAAAAUAUAUUUAGAUUUUCACAAAAAGCAGCUGCAUUGACUGGAUUUCAGAAAGGGACAUGAAGUAGGUGGGAAUAUUGGUAAGACAAGACUAGAUCCAAGUAAUUCCAACUGCCUGGUAACAGAAAGCUUUCUUGACCAUCAAGCCACUUGGCCACCUUCACAACAACUGGAUUCCAAAAGUUUAGAGCUCAAUGAUAACCCCCAAGAAGAAGACCAAGAUAUUAGAGUGGCAACUCAUUAGUUCAUAACCUACUCCCACGGCUACCUAGAAGGUUCUUCAUAUUGCACAUUGAUCCUUAUCAAGGAACUAUUACAGGUGUUAAUUUUGUGGCCUGAAACCAUUCUGAAUGCCUGAAAAAUAAGCUUAAUAUUGAACACCUUAUUUUCUUCAGUAGAGUAAAUUAUUUUGUCAUAAGAAAAAUGGUGUGACAAAUUUGAACGAGCUUCCCUUGCUUCGAAAUCUUCCUUACACAAGACCUUUUUCCCUUUUCUUUUCUUUUCUUUUCUUUUCUGUGUGUGUGAGAGAGAGAGAGAGAGUGAUAAACUUUUUUAGAUAAAAACCUCCCAUGACUCCACCCUAAUCCCCUACCACUUGAGUUAGGCCUCAAGGAUUCCUUCCACAAGGCUUAAUUCCAUUAUGAUUCUACCUUCAUUUAUACUGAUUAUAGUCUCUAGCUUCCAAAGUCCAACGCAGAUUGGAAAAAUUCAAUACAAAUUUAAUCUCGGAAAGCCCACAGUAUUCUUAAUUAUGAAAAGGAACAAAACUAAAAAAAAUGAUCUUUUCAGCAGUUCUCCACAAGAACUGCCACACAAUGAGUGCAUGGAUUAUGAAAUCAAGGAUCUCUGCACAUAUAUCACAGUUCAUAUUCUUUAUAUAUACAAGAUUUUAUUCAGAAAACAAGAAACAACAAUAAAAAGGGGCAACCAAUCCCCCCAACCAUGACAGCAUAAAAGGCAGGAUCUAGAACAUUCCAAAAAAGAAUCAAACCAAGACCUCAAUUAGUAAGACACAAAUCAAAUGCUUCUUCCUAGUAACAGUUUUCAUUUCUCCCCUUCCAUAUUCCCCAAACCAGAGCAAAAGGAGUGAGCUGUCAAGUUAUAAGGACUCUUUAGUCUUUUAAGGCCAAAAGGUGCAAACCCCGAAAAAUAUCACCCAACAUAC
rnacentral:lncRNA from 1 species